rnacentral:lncRNA from 1 species
UGUGCCCAUGGGGCCUUCUCAGCUUGCCCGUGCCCCUCGGCCCCGGGGCUUAAGAUUCCGCUACCACAGGCCAGGGAUGGGCUGGCCUAGGCCUCGAUUUCCCAGGAUGUUCAAGUGUAGCCGUAGAAGGUAUCGGCAGAAACCCCAAGGCAGAACUCCUACCACUGCAGCCACCAAUUUUGCCACCCUGGCCACAGAUAUCAACAACACUCACACCGUCACCACCACCAGUGUGUGGAUCCUUCCACCACCAGGUUAGCCAAGGGCCCUGAGGCAGGGUGGGGGGGGGGGUUGGCAAAACAGAGACAUUAGUUUUCCCCCACUUUAGCCCUGCAUAGGCAUUCUAGGAGGCACACUCUGUGAGAAAUACCACUCCAAAAGUAUGGUGGGGUCUUGAUAGCAGACAUCCUAAAGGCUCAGAGCCUUAAUGGAGGGCAUAUUGACUAAAAGCAGAGGGCUUGGGGGACUGUGAAUCUAAGAGCAAUAGAGCUUCCAGAACUUCUGUCUUCCUCACACUCUUCCCUUUCCUUCUUCUCCUUAGUUCUCAGACACCUCUGUCAACCUGGCAGCUUUCUGAUCUUCUAGAAAUGUCCAGAAACUAGUCCAGAAGCUUGGCUGUCUCCGGACCUGUAUCUCCUAAGGGCCCUGGGUGGUUAACAGCAGACAAAUACAAUCAAUUCUGCUCCAA